CAAUAAAAGUAUAGAACACAUUCCAUUAAACUUCACAUAUGCGAUAUAUAUAAGAUGCAUGAGUAUCAUGUAUAAACACUAAUAAGUAGUAAUAAUACAGAAACUGGCUAGAAUUUUAGUGAACAAUGGUGAAAGUUCAUGAUUUGGUAUUUUCAGGAAAUUUUGGUUUAGAAACCUCUGGCAUUUCAUGGUUGGGCAUAUCUGACAAUUUUGGUUUGGGUAGUUCUUCAUGAUUUGGAAUUUCAGGUAAUUUUGGUUUGGGCAACUCUGGCAUCUCAUGUUUCGGCAUUUCAGAUGAUGUUGGUUUGGGCAAAUCUGGCAUCUCGUGUUUCGGCAUUUCAGGUGAUGUUGGUUUGGGCAACUCUGGCAUCUCGUGUUUCGACAUUUCAGGUGAUUUUGGUUUGGGCAACUCUGGCAACUCGUGUUUCGGCAUUUCAGGUGAUGUUGGUUUGGGCAAUUCUGGCAUCUCGUGUUUCGGCAUUUCAGGUGAUUCUGGUUUGGGCAACUCUGGCAUCUCGUGUUUUGCCAUCGGUGUAACCUCAUCAGGCGUCUUUUUCUCUUGCAAAAAACGACCAUCUACACGCGAUACGCCAUUGUAGCAAUUGAGAAGCAGCAUCAGCAUCAGCAUCACCGACUUGGAACACAUGAUCAGUGAUGAUAUAUGGAUGCAAAACAAUGUUUUGUAGGAGGACGUGAUGAUUUUGAAUGUGUAACAUUAAUUCAUGAUGGUAUUUAUAGAGGCUUGUAGUUAUGUGAAGUUGGUUGUCCAAACAAGAAACAUUGCAACUACCAAAUCAUUGGUAGUUGGCCUAUAUUUGACAUUAAAAUGUUUUAUGUUGAGAAAAUUUUGCCUUUUAUGGACUUCUUUUUACAUAUAAAAGAAAAUCAAUUUGUGUUUUAACCUAAAAUAAAGUAUUUGAUCUAACAUAAAGCUUUGAUGAUACCUGGUAAUACAAAAUUCCACGCUUGAUCACAUCAAUAGUAUUCGAAAACUCGUAUAUAUAAACAUAUUGAGAAUACAACGACUCUUAUAGGUUGUGGGGGACUCCAAGUCGACUUUAUGACAGGUCGAACUCAGAAAGUCGAACUGGAGUCAGGGUUGGGUUUGCAGGGUAUGUAGUUAGGCAGUUACUUCUCUAAUGAUCAUAUUACCUCCAUAAGAAAUCUUAUAAAUAAAUGGUCACUUUUAGUCAUUAGGGGAUAGUUGAUUUCUUGGAGGGAACUUUGAGAUAUCACUAAGAGAAGAAGAAUAAAGAUUGUCGAGUCCGAGCGUGUUUUCUAAUGAAGUUUUCGUCCUGACGUUUGUUCAAAAUGGUUCGCGAGCGCUGAUCGAGUUCCACCCUCAUCAAUACCAUGUUUGCCAGACUGGGCCUAUUUAGAGGUUCGGUUCACAACUUAUUGAUAUGUCUAUCGGCAUGUUGUUCGACUCGUUCGAUCUUGUAUAAAUAGUAUCUCGAUUAAUUGAUACUUCAGAAUUCUUACCAGUCGGAUGGACCGGUGACCCUCAGACAUCCUUAAGUGGGUUGAUGCUUCAAAAGCUUGAAAAAGAUCGAUCAUUAGACAUUGGACUUAAUUAAGCCAAACCAAAAGUAGAUGCCCCACCGAUAAUUAUGGACCAAAAGGAGACAUGGUCGAACCAACUUAGGGGAAUCGAUUGGAAUUAAGGUCGACUCUUUUUUGGUCUGUCUCCCAUAUGAUCGAUCGUUUUCCGGACCGAUUGUCCUUGACAUGGUGAAAUGAUCAAUUUAUCUUCUUAAAAACUAUAAAUAAAAGAAGAGAUUUAUCAUUUGGAUACAACUUGCACAACUGAUCGACUACUUUCUGAGCAAAAAGUGGAGUACGUACGGUUGAAAAUCCAGAGCCAUCGGUUCAUCCGACUUAUAAAACACCUAAAAAAAAUAGUCGACCGAUCGACUAAAAAGGACGACUGGGCGGAUGAUACCGUCGUCGUUUCACGGAAUCCCUCGACGUCCCUCGAUAGUAUGUCGAAGAUUUCAACUGUGCGAUUUGCAUAUACGGAAAAUUAAACAAAAUCUAAAAUGAGAUGCAACACGAGGACAUACCAGGAGAAUCACCGAUUCAUCCAAUUGGUAAGACACCUGUAAAAAAUAGUUGACCAAUCAACUAGACAUGAGUCAACUAAUUCAUAAACUAUCCUCAUCAAAUCUAUAUAAAGUGUAACACUUGAGAGUAGGGUGUCAAACGAGUCAAGCCAAGCCAAACCGAGCUUUUGCUUAUAGAAUCGGAAUCGGGCUCGGCUCGUUAAAGAAUUAUCCAGGAUCGGACUCAGACUUAGCUCGUUAAGGAAUUUUCCAAGCUCGGUCUCAGCUCGUUAAAGAAUUUUUCAAGCUCAGACUCGAAGCUCGCGAGCUCAGUUUCGGCUCGAGCUCAAUAAGCUUGUCGAAAAAUAUCUAUAUCAAUAUAUUUUAUUUUAGAUUUAGGUUUAGGUUUAGGUUUUUAUUUAAGUUUUUUAGUAAUUUAUUCAAUAGUCCUUGUAAUUAAAUUAAUAUUAGUAAUUAAAUUAAAUUAACUUGUCUAUUCAAUUUAGUAAUUAAAUUUACAAAUCAUGAAAUUUUGACCAAACCAUUGAUAUUUUACAACAAGUAAAAAAAAACAAUAAAAGUAUAGAACACAUUCGAUUAAACUUCACAUAUGCGAUAUAUAUAAGAUGCAUGAGUAUCAUGUAUAAACACUUAUUAGUGUUUAUACAAUGGCUAGAAUUUUAGUGAACAAUGGUGGAAGUUCAUGAUUUGGUAUUUUCAGGAAAUUUUGAUUUAGAAACCUCUGGCAUUUCAUGGUUGGGCAUAUCUGACAAUUUUGGUUUGGGUAGUUCUUCAUGAUUUGGAAUUUCAGGUAAUUUUGGUUUGGGCAACUCUGGCAUCUCAUGUUUCGGCAUUUCAGAUGAUGUUGGUUUGGGCAAAUCUGGCAUCUCGUGUUUCGGCAUUUCAGGUGAUAUUGGUUUGGGCAACUCUGGCAUCUCGUGUUUCGACAUUUCAGGUGAUGUUGGUUUGGGCAAAUCUGGCAUCUCGUGUUUCGGCAUUUCAGGUGAUGUUGGUUUGGGCAACUCUGGCAUCUCGUGUUUCGGCAUUUCAGGUGAUGUUGGUUUGGGCAACUCUGGCAUCUCGUGUUUCGGCAUUUCAGGUGAUGUUGGUUUGGGCAAC
rnacentral:lncRNA from 1 species